rnacentral:lncRNA from 1 species
ACACGCCCGCUGUCCACGCGCUGCGGCCUUGGAGUAACUGCUGUUCUUAAAGGCUGCCUCCGUCCUGCCGCGCGGCCUUUAGAGGGUUGGAGCUGGCAGAACCGUAACUCCCUCUCUGAGGGUGAAUACGGGCCUUGAUUGCCAGAAGGGCCCUCGGCCGGGGACGCGGGAUGAUGCGGGGCCGGGAGAUGCUUUCCUGGAGGCUGAGAAACCUGGAGGGAGACCCCCAAAACUUCUCAGUUCGCCGACCCCUUGGUCCCAGAGGGAGAGGAGCAUCCCCAAAGAACAUUCAAGUCUGAGCCUCAAGGAGCCUCUGCGACUCGGUGUCUAGAUCCAGGAAAUGGAGAAUGAGCCGUGACUUUGGAUGCUUCACUCUUGUCCAUCAGGCUCGGAAUUGGGUAGCCCGGCUCUGCAGGGACAGUCACGGAGCUGAAAAACUGCUGCCUAAUGAAGCUGUUUUCUUCUACCACCGGCUCACCCUCAAAUUAUUUCCUGAGCGAACUCAAGAACCUUCCUGGGCUAAGCCCCAAUUUUGGGGCUCGCCUGCCCCUGCAUCACAGCUUCCUCUUCUGUUCACAGCUGCAACCGCCUACUCAACCUUCUGCGGUUCCUCUCCCUGCCCCUCCACAGUGGCUGCUGAUGGGAGCUCUGGCUCCCUGCGUUUUCACUAUCUCCCAGUCAAAUGCAGAGUCCCUGUGCAAUUUAAAUGCUUCUCAGCUAAGAACAGAGAAGGGGAUAGCAUAAGGAUAUUCAAAAGAUUCAAGAAAUCUCAAAAGUGAUCACAAAACAUUUGUCUCUGACCAACCAGAAACAUCGACGGGUGAGAAGGGCAUUUCCUCUAGCUGAAUUCUUCAUGGGUCUUCAGGCUCUGUUUUCACUUUGGAUUUUCUGGAGUCUCCUGAAGGUUACCUGAAAUCUUGUUGGUCCUGAAUAUUGUAUGUGGAGUCCCAAGCUGCAAGAAGUCAGUGGGGCUGGACGGGAGCCAAAAUCAGAGACUCAAGCAGCACAGCUGGGCCCCAUUGAAAGUGAGACCAGCUGUCCCAGUUGGAAGCUGGGGUAUAGAGCUGGGGAUGGGUGGAGGCAGUGACAGGCUCCAUGUAUUGGUCAUUCAGACUCCCCAGUAGCCUCAGGACCCAACUCCCACAGGUCAGAGAAGACCUGGUGGAGGGCCUUAUGCAAACCUCAGUGGGUGAUGCAGGAGGGAGUUUUCUGAGCAGGAAUGCCAACAAAAAAGGCCUUCAAAGGAAGGCCCUGCUUGGGACAA